rnacentral:tRNA from 1 species
GGUAGGAUGGCCGAGACCUAGGCGGUGGCUUGUAGCUCCACAUACGGGGGUUAGAGUCCCUCUCCUGCCA